GAUGAACGCUGGCGGCGUGCCUAAUACAUGCAAGUCGAGCGAACAGACGAGGAGCUUGCUCCUCUGACGUUAGCGGCGGACGGGUGAGUAACACGUGGAUAACCUACCUAUAAUACUGGGAUAACUUCGGGAAACCGGAGCUACUACCGGAUAAUAUAUUGAACCGCAUGGUUCAAUAGUGAAAGACGGUUUUGCUGUCACUUAUAGAUGGAUCCGCGCCGCAUUAGCUAGUUGGUAAGGUAACGGCUUACCAAGGCAACGAUGCGUAGCCGACCUGAGAGGGUGAUCGGCCACACUGGAACUGAGACACGGUCCAGACUCCUACGGGAGGCAGCAGUAGGGAAUCUUCCACAAUGGGCGAAAGCCUGACGGAGCAACGCCGCGUGAGUGAUGAAGGUCUUCGGAUCGUAAAACUCUGUUAUUAGGGAAGAACAAAUGUGUAAGUAACUAUGCACGUCUUGACGGUACCUAAUCAGAAAGCCACGGCUAACUACGUG
rnacentral:rRNA from 1 species